AGCGCGGGUCGUGACUGGCGCUGAGGUGGACAACCACCGGGGAGCGGCCUCGCGAAGAACGCGAAGAACGCAGAGUGCGUGCGUGCCGUGCGCCUGGGCGAUGACA
rnacentral:ncRNA from 2 species